ACUCCUACGGGAGGCAGCAGUGGGGAAUAUUGGACAAUGGGGGGAACCCUGAUCCAGCCAUGCCGCGUGUGUGAAGAAGGCCUUAUGGUUGUAAAGCACUUUAAGCGAGGAGGAGGCUACUGAGACUAAUACUCUUGGAUAGUGGACGUUACUCGCAGAAUAAGCACCGGCUAACUCUGUGCCAGCAGCCGCGGUAAUACAGAGGGUGCGAGCGUUAAUCGGAUUUACUGGGCGUAAAGCGUGCGUAGGCGGCUUUUUAAGUCGGAUGUGAAAUCCCCGAGCUUAACUUGGGAAUUGCAUUCGAUACUGGGAAGCUAGAGUAUGGGAGAGGAUGGUAGAAUUCCAGGUGUAGCGGUGAAAUGCGUAGAGAUCUGGAGGAAUACCGAUGGCGAAGGCAGCCAUCUGGCCUAAUACUGACGCUGAGGUACGAAAGCAUGGGGAGCAAACAGGAUUAGAUACCCUGGUAGUCCAUGCCGUAAACGAUGUCUACUAGCCGUUGGGGCCUUUGAGGCUUUAGUGGCGCAGCUAACGCGAUAAGUAGACCGCCUGGGGAGUACGGUCGCAAGACUAAAACUCAAAUGAAUUGACGGGGGCCCGCACAAGCGGUGGAGCAUGUGG
rnacentral:rRNA from 1 species